GACGAACCGAGCGAACGUUGUUCGGAAUCACUGGGCUUAAAGGGCGCGUAGGCGGGCUGUCAAGUCUGGGGUGAAAUGCCGCGGCUCAACCGUGGAACUGCCUUAGAUACUGACGGCCUCGAGGGAGGUAGGGGCGUGCGGAACUGUAGGUGGAGCGGUGAAAUGCGUUGAUAUCUACAGGAACUCCGGUGGCGAAAGCGGCGCGCUGGACCUCUUCUGACGCUGAGGCGCGAAAGCUAGGGGAGCAAACGGG
rnacentral:rRNA from 1 species